GACGGAGGGGGCAAGCGUUGUCCGGAAUUACUGGGCGUAAAGGGCGCGUAGGCGGUGGCGUACGGCGGUGGUGAAAGCUCCCGGCUCAACUGGGAGAGGCCCGCCGCAACGGCGUCACUCGAGGGUGGUAGAGGCGGAUGGAAUUCCCGGUGUAACGGUGAAAUGUGUAGAGAUCGGGAGGAACACCCGUGGCGAAGGCGGUCCGCUGGGCCAUGCCUGACGCUGAGGCGCGAAAGCCAGGGGAG
rnacentral:rRNA from 1 species